UGCACUCCACCAAAAGUAAAGUGAACAACAUGUUUAGCUGUUUGAUCUCAUUCUGCCAAUAUAACAACUAAGGCGCUGUAUAACGUAUUAAAGAGCUCCAUGUCUGUAAAUGUUUUCAGGGAAGAGAGUUGAAGCAGCUGGCAGAGAACACGCAACUCAGCCCACAGCUCUCCACGACCAGCUAUGAGUGAACAAAGGGCUCUAUGACACCCACUACAGAAAGAACACUCGUGUUUGAGAUCACCUCCUCCUCAGAAAUCUAAAGUUCAAUGACGUUCCUUCACUGGUAACCAGACCGCACUAAGGAAAGACUCAGAACUGACCAUGUGACUGGAAAUAGUGACAAUCCAGAGAGCAUCCUGUACUGAAGACAACAGACACAGAGUGACAUGGAGCAGGGGUCCUGGCCAGCCAAGUAAGGUCUGGGAUGGCCCAUGCUGUAUCUCAGAAAGCAGUCAUCAGAGGAUCUGCCAACAGUUUUCAAGGUGAUCCAAUCCACAGACAAUUUCCAGAAAUUAAGAUACUUGGGCCUGCAAAGGCACAUGCCACCAAGCCAGACAACCGGAGUUCAAUCCCGAAGAUCCAUAUGGUUGGAGAGAACUGACUCCCCAAAUUGUUCUCUGAUCUCUACAUAUGCACAGUGGUAUGUGUGCGCCCCUCCAUCACACAUACAAAUUGAAUAAAUAAGUAUAAUUUUCAAGGAAA